rnacentral:rRNA from 1 species
AAUCAACGCUGGCGGCGUGCCUAACACAUGCAAGUCGAGCGAGAAAGUGGUAGCAAUACCAUGAGUACAGCGGCGCACGGGUGAGUAACACGUGACUAACCUACCCUCGAGUGGGGAAUAACUUCGGGAAACCGAGGCUAAUACCGCAUAAUACCCACGGGUCAAAAGAGCAAUCUGCUUGAGGAGGGGGUCGCGGCCGAUUAGUUAGUUGGCGGGGUAAUGGCCCACCAAGACGAUGAUCGGUAUCCGGCCUGAGAGGGCGCACGGACA